CUGUCGCCGUCGCUGUCGCCAGUCGCCGCCGUCGCCUCCGUCAAGGCCAAUCCUGCCGUCUCACCGCUCCUGCCACCGCACGGUUCCGCCGUCGACUCCUACGGUACCAUGUCUCAUCGUAGAGGAUUGUUGGGGUUUGGUAGUCGGUCUUCUGGGCCUGAGGCACAGUCCUCCUCAGGCUCUGGGCCGUAUAUUUCCGCUACUCCAGAGUCUGGUUCCCCUCCACAGAGCGCUGC